ACGCCGAUUUCGUUCUAAUCACACAAAAUAUAUGUUAAUAGUGUUUCUUAUACAGUAACAUACACUAUUCUAAGCUAUAUAAUCUUUAAAUUUCUAUUAUUUGUACAAAGCAUGAAUAUGAUUUUCCUUUUAUGAUUAAUGUUGAUAUAAACAUUGUCCUGCUAGAUCAAAUCGUCCUAUCUGUUUAGUAUCUAUAUACAUAUAUUAUCAUGGGGUCUUAUUAAUCUUUCAGGUGUAUAUUGUAUGUAAAUAUUGAGGGAUAUGUCACAAGCAGGCAUUUUGCUAAAACAAGGGAAUAGAUGUACAUUAUAUUUACCAGGAUAUGAAAUCAAUAUUUCAAGAAUAGAUAACUUUUAUCACAACGUGCAGUGUUUUCAGAAAAUGGACAGUCUUGCUGAAUACCGUCAUAGCUGAUACCACCUCCAUUAUGUCCAGGGAUCCUUGUUUGCGCAACGUUUAAUUUUGUAUUCUUUAUAGAAGUUAUGAGAUUGAUCACUGUU